GAUGAACGCUGGCGGCGUGCCUAAUACAUGCAAGUCGAGCGAACAGAUAAGGAGCUUGCUCCUUUGACGUUAGCGGCGGACGGGUGAGUAACACGUGGGUAACCUACCUAUAAGACUGGAAUAACUCCGGGAAACCGGGGCUAAUGCCGGAUAACAUUUAGAACCGCAUGGUUCUAAAGUGAAAGAUGGUUUUGCUAUCACUUAUAGAUGGACCCGCGCCGUAUUAGCUAGUUGGUAAGGUAACGGCUUACCAAGGCAACGAUACGUAGCCGACCUGAGAGGGGGUACGGCCAAAGGGAACGUGAGCAGGGGUACGAGGCCCUAGGGAGGGACGCGGAGGGGAAGCUUCGGAAAGGGGCGAAACCCGAAGGGACAAACCCACGGGAGGGAAUGAAGGGUUUGGGAUCGAAAAACUUGGUUAUUGGGGAAAAAAAAUGUUGUAAGAAACGGGGCAGGUGUUAACGGAACCAAAUAAAAAGCCCGCGGCAAAUACGGG
rnacentral:rRNA from 1 species